GGAAACCGGGGCUAAUACCGGAUGGUUGUCUGAACCGCAUGGUUCAUACAUAACAGGUGGCUUCGGCUACCACUUACAGAUGGACCCGCGGCGCAUUAGCUAGUUGGUGAGGUAACGGCUCACCAAGGCAACGAUGCGUAGCCAACCUGAGAGGGUGAUCGGCCACACUGGGACUGAGACACGGCCCAUACUCCUACGGGAGGCAGCAGUAGGGAAUCUUCCGCAAUGGACGAAAGUCUGACGGAGCAACGCCGCGUGAGUGAUGAAGGUUUUCGGAUCGUAAAGCUCUUUUGUUAGGGAAGAACAAGUGCCGUUCAAAUAGGGCGGCACCUUGACGGUACCUAACCAGAAAGCCACGGCUAACUACGUGCCAGCAGCCGCGGUAAUACGUAGGUGGCAAGCGUUGUCCGGAAUUAUUGGGCGUAAAGUGCUCGCAGGCGGUUUCUUAAGUCUGAUGUGAAAGCCCUCAGCUCANCCGGGGAGGGUCAUUGGAAACUGGGGAACUUGAGUGCAGAAGAGGAGAGUGGAAUUCCACNUGUAGNGGUUAAAUGCGUAGAGAUGUGGAGGAACACCAGUGGCGAAGGCGACUCUCUGGUCUGUAACUGACGCUGAGGAGCGAAAGCGUGGGGAGCGNACAGGAUUAGAUACCCUGGUAGUCCACGCCGUAAACGAUGAGUGCUAAGUGUUAGGGGGUUUCCGCCCCUUAGUGCUGCAGCUAACGCAUUAAGCACUCCGCCUGGGGAGUACGGUCGCAAGACUGAAACUCAAAGGAAUUGACGGGGGCCCGCACAAGCGGUGGAGCAUGUGGUUUAAUUCGAAGCAACGCGAAGAACCUUACCAGGUCUUGACAUCCUCUGACAAUCCUAGAGAUAGGACGUCCCCUUCGGGGGCAGAGUGACAGGUGGUGCAUGGUUGUCGUCAGCUCGUGUCGUGAGAUGUUGGGUUAAGUCCCGCAACGAGCGCAACCCUUGAUCUUAGUUGCCAGCAUUCAGUUGGGCACUCUAAGGUGACUGCCGGUGACAAACCGGAGGAAGGUGGGGAUGACGUCAAAUCAUCAUGCCCCUUAUGACCUGGGCUACACACGUGCUACAAUGGACAGAACAAAGGGCAGCGAAACCGCGAGGUUAAGCCAAUCCCACAAAUCUGUUCUCA
rnacentral:rRNA from 1 species